UCUUACUUACUUUAUCUUAAUGCAGUUAUAACCCCUUCUCCAUGCAAACUGACUGCAGGCCAGUGGGUGUAGCAUGUCUAUUAGAAAUGGAGUGAUACUUCUCCUUGUCCUCCAUGCUGAAACGAUGAAAGGCUGUCUCAGGCUACCUCACACCUCUGGCCUGAAUUCCCCUGCUGCCAAAUAAUUGUUCUUCCCUUUUUGAAACAUAAGUAGACAAUCUUUUUCAUUUCUUUUCUGUCUCUCUAUGAAAAAGCUUUACAAAGCUUAAAUUUACAAUAUUAUUAAGACCUCACAAACAAUAUACGAUAUAGAAAUAUUACUUUCAGAUUUAUCAAGAGUACUUUUAUGACCCUAUAGUAUUUUAACAUGAUAUUCAUGUAGCUGUUUAGACAAGGGUGUGGGCUGAGGUUAUUUUAAGUUCAAUACACGUUUUUUAUUACUUUUAAGUAAUUAUAUUAUCAGCUCAUCCUGUAAUAUUGAGCUCUAUGAACAAAAGCUAUUGUUCUGAAAUGUCAAUACAACAUGGCCAUUGGACAAUUUCAUUGAUGAACAUUUGGUGAAUGGUGUACAAGAGCAUUGUUGAACUGCUUGGGUAUGCAAAACACAUAAAUUAACAGAGUUUAAUUUUACCGAAAUGCAGGUUUAUUAUAAGUGUCUUGUUCAAGAAUGCUUUUGUAAAAGUAAAAAACACUUUUACUCAUUAGAAUUAUAAAUAAAGUGAAUACACUGGAUAAGUAUUCUUCCAUACUAGAGAUGGCACGAUACCACUUUUUUAUGUCCGAUACCGAUAUCAUAAAUUUGGAUAUCUGCCGAUACCGAUAUGAAUCCGAUAUAGUGUUUUUUAAUCAACAAAACUGUUUUUUUAAAUAUCUUGCUGCAUUUUGUAUAAGUUCAUACUCAAGUUUAAAACAACAACUACACUAAAGCUAUUCUGUUAUACCUGUAUGCAAAAAAAAAAAAUUUCAUAGUUCAGCAAUACUAAUCAAUCUAAUAAACUUAAACCUACACCAUCCUCCCUAUUCUGGUAUUUUAAAGAGUACUUAGCGUAAAUAUUAAGCAACCUAACUAAUAGGGUUCCAACUCCCAGCAACAACAAAAAUAAAUAAAUAAAAAAUGGGGAACCACCCCUCACGCUCCACCUCAUGAUGCUUAAUCGACGUAAUCAACCUUAAUUUGAUGCAGUGUGAAAAAAAAUGCACAGAAAUCAAUUAUUUUUCAAGAAAUAUUAAAUAGAUUCAACAUCUUUCUUCAACAGAAUUGCAGACUGCACAGAUGGUACCUUCCCAAAGGAAAAAGUACUAUAGCUUACUAGGGUAGAUAUAUUAGACUUAAUAGUUACAAUAUACAGUAAUGGACUUCUAUUCAUUUUGCAUCAAAUUAAAACUUUGGGUGUCAGAUAAUUAUUUAUUAAAAGCUAGACAUUUUAAAUGAGAAUAAGAAAGAAAAGUAUGUCUUUGUGCCCCCUUUUCCCUGUUCAUGCCCUAUCGGCCCCCCUGGCUAAACUUUGCUAGAUCCGCCCCUGCACAGUUACCAGCGUCGGCUACGUAGAAAAAGAUCCUCGAGUAGAAAGUAAAUAAAUUCUAACAACAGCUUAUCAAGCUUAAACGUGCUGCUGUUGUUUAUCCGCUGGUUUCCUCUUUCUGGUGCAAAGUGGGCCA
ensembl:lncRNA